UGUGCUGUCUGUCCCAGGGUGUGUUGGUCCAGAGCAGUUUCCGGAUGUGUUCAGUGCUUUAGCGGCGGUGCUGCGCUAAUCGGAGCCGGGGGCUGCUCCUGUGUUGGAGCCGGCCUGCCUCCAGGAGGCACGGCUUUUGGCUGUGCUGUGUUUGCCGGGACGGCCUGGGCUCUCCCGUUGUCUGUGUGCGAUGCUGUGUCUGAGCGGAGCGGCUCCGGGAGCUGCGGCCAGCAGCCCGGGCUCGCUGCUGCUGCUGCUCUGGCAGAGCAUCCGAUUGUGUUCCGCGUCAGGCGGCCGCUUCCCCUGGGCUGACCAUUACGGCACCAAGUCCAGGUAUGAGGGACCGAGUGCAGAGCCACUGCCUGGCACCAGCUGGCUGGCACCUGCCAACUGCACCGCUCUGCAGCUCAAUGCUCUGGUUCGGCAUGGCACCAGGUACCCCACCAGGAAGAAUGUGCCCCGUAUGAGGGAGGUGCACCAGCUGAUCAAAGAGCAGGGUGACCCAGGCAACAGCCUGGUACAGGCUCUGGCAGGCUGGCACAUGUGGUACAACGAGCGCAUGGACGGCAACCUCCACCCCCUGGGCACCGCCGAAAUGGUCAGGCUGGCCAAACGGCUGGCCGCCCAGUUCCCCACCCUCUUCACCGCCCGGUGUUACUGGGAGGGCCGGCUCAAAUUCAUCACCAGCUCCAAGCACAGGUGCGUCAACAGCACCAGGGCUUUCAUCCAGGGGGUGGAGAGCUACCUGAACCUGCGGGAGCAGGCGGGCGGGCAGUGGGAGGUCAACGAUGGGCUGCUGCGCUUCUUCGACCACUGCCAAAAGUUCAUAAACCGAGUGGAAAACAACGACACAGCCCUGCACCAAGUGGAGCUCUUCAAGAGGGGCCCAGAGAUGGAACGAGUCAUGAGAAACAUGGGAAAGAAACUUGGCAUCUCACCGGAGGCUCUAACCACCAAUAUGGUGGAAGCAACAUUUUAUCUUUGCACUUAUGAGUUCAUCCUUAAAGGCAUCGUUUCCCCCUGGUGUGACGUGUUUGAAAAGGAAGAUGCCGAGGUAUUGGAAUAUCUGGGUGAUCUGAAGCAAUACUGGAAGAGAAGCUAUGGAUACAAAAUUAAUGGUCUGUCUAGCUACAAGCUGUUCCAAGAUCUCUUCCACUAUAUGGACCAGACCAUUGAGGAGAGUGAGAGGAACCAGUCCAUAUCUCACACCGCUGUCAUACGCUUCGGACACGCAGAGACUCUCCUGCCAGUCCUGACUCUCAUGGGUUACUUUAAGGACAAAUACCCGUUACUGGCGAAUAAUUUUGAAGCACAGAAAGGUCGCAAGUUCCGAAGCGGAUGGAUUUCUCCGUUUGCUGCAAACCUUGUUCUCAUGCUGUACAGGUGCAAUGAAGCACGGGGCCUGGGAGAAAAGUACAAACUCCAGCUGUUUCUGAAUGAGAAGCCACUGCCAUUUGCUCACAGUGGAAAGCUUGUGACCGACUAUGAGGAAGUAAAGUACAGCUAUGAGCACCUCACCGAAUCACUGAAAUUCAACAACGUAUGUGAGUUUGCCACAAGAGAAGACUUAAUUUCACUAGAACGUGAUGAAUUAUGAGCUAGCUGUGUCUGUUUGCUCUGAUGGGCUCAGAUUUGCCACCAAAUCACUAGAAUAUGGAUUUGUUUUGUUUUUAAUGGGAAGGUUUCCUCAGAUACUUGACACACACUGUAGAUGUCGCUGCAUCUGUUUUGUCAGCACUUGGGACAGAUCACUCUGUUUUGAGGCAGGAAUUUAUCCUGUGGGAUUUUGAAUGUCACAGCACACUUCAGUAUUAGUCAACUGACCGUGUCUGUAAGCAGUAUCCUGUGUAUUUCACGUUUCUUGACUCUAUCAGAAAGUAUGUUAAUAAUGGAUGUUUGAAGGACUGAAACUGCUGCUAAACCUCCAAUGUCAGAAAACUGAAUUGUGUGUGAUGACCACAGUUACUUCCAUUUCAUUUUAUUUCUCUUUCUCCUUCUUUUGUUUCUAAUUUAUUAUUAAAAUUGCCAUCAAUUAGA